UACGUAGGGUGCGAGCGUUGUCCGGAAUUAUUGGGCGUAAAGGGCUCGUAGGCGGUUUGUCGCGUCGGGAGUGAAAUCCACUGGCUUAACUGGUGGCUUGCUUUCGAUACGGGCAGACUGGAGGUAUGCAGGGGAGAACGGAAUUCCUGGUGUAGCGGUGAAAUGCGCAGAUAUCAGGAGGAACACCGGUGGCGAAGGCGGAUCUCUGGGCCUUACCUGACGCUCAGGUGCGAAAGCGUGGGUAGCGAACAGG
rnacentral:rRNA from 1 species